CUCUCUCUCUCUCUCCUUUUAGUCCAACCAAUUAUUGCUCCGACCGUCGACCUCCCUGGUAGGUUUCAAAGAUUGUGGUUAGUUCAGAUAAGUGUGAAAAAAGUGUUCUGAAAGUGUUUGCAGUGAUUUUAACAGUAUAGGGGUCCUCAGGCUCAGGCACAAAGAGGAUCAUGCAAAAGUGUUUCGAGUUUCUAGACUCUGAUUUCAAGCCCCUUUUAGCCUUCCAAACUUCGGGUUUGGGAAAUAGUAUUUAAACAAAGUUGUAGAGAACCGAAUUAACUAUUCAACGCCCUUUGAAUCGAGUGAAACGGAUGUCCAAUGGGAAAGUUAUGGCCGAAAUACCAAAGGCAAAAACAGAGGACGUCCAGACCUGAGAUCCAGUGUUGGAAAAUUGCGUGUAAACAACAUUUUGAUUAUCUAUUCUCAAGAUUGAUGGUCAGUUCCCAACUGGUGCAUGUUCUCGGAAUUUUCGCCAUUGAAAGAUGUAGCAGCAUUCCUUCUAAAGACAUAUGAUCGCAUUGCAAGGGUCUAAGGAUUGUGACGUUGAGGCAAUAGGAUGUGACCCAACAGCUUCAAUUCAGUAAAUUUCUGAAGGUUCAAUGAAGGAGAGGUUGGUCUUAUGCCUGCUGAUUUGUCAUGGCUCUGGGGGUAUCGAUCUGGGGCUGAGGAUGAGGUAUUUUAUUGUUUUGCUUGGAUUCUCAUUCUACUACAUUUGCGGAAGAAAGUUUGGCUUGUUUAAGGAUAUAUUGCUACGUAUGUAUAUUAACUUCUUGACUAAUGAAAAACUGGUCAAAAAAGGCCACUGGGCAACAAUGAUUGAAAAUUUGAUGAGGAAGAAGAAAAGAACAGGGCAAUCAAGAAGAGGGCGAGCAAGAAGAAGGUGAAUAACUUGGUUGAAAAGAAGAUGAACGUGAAUAAGUUUGUUUUACCAAGCAUUGUGUAUACUUGUUGUUAGCAGUGGAUAUCAAUUUAACAUUCAUUGCUUUUGAUUUUGGAGUUUCUCUGGAAAAGUAUCCUUUGACGAGGUCAAUUUUUUAGGUUGUUGAUGAAACAGAUCGAUUACUCAGGGGAGCAAACCAAUCUUGGCUUCCCACUAUUCUUCAAUUAACGUGCUCCAGUGGUGGGGAUCUCAGAAGCCUCUUCCCUCCUUCCUUCCAUAUUUGGUUCCUUAAAAACCACAAGAAGAUAGUGAGUUCUAAUUUUCUUCACCUCCUUGGAAUAGUUGAAACUUCCGCACUGUUGGGCAUGCCCCACAAGCAUUGCUGCAAUUUUUGGUCAGUGUUAUGUGCUGCAAGCAUUAGAUACACCUUAGAUGAAACUGCAAUCAGGUAUCCAAGAUCGUAUCAUAUGUAUUCAACUAUUGGUUUCUUGGUGAAUUGCCAAUUAUGGUGGUUUCAUAAACUUGUGAGGGCUGUCAAUAUACUUUCGUGAUACCUGGAGCAAUGUUUUGGAUGUGUGUACUUCCUAAUUCUGAUUUUUUUUUUUUGUUUCUUGCUCAAAUUUGAGUGCCUUCAUACCGGCUAUCACAAAUUUUUGUUUGAACGAGUUGUAUUAGAACCCACAGUUAACAAGUCUAAUAUAGAUACUUAAAUGCAUCCCCUAAGGCCUAAUGGAUCUUUGAUAAUAAUGUUACUUUUGUUCAAAUUUCCUAUUUAGUUUUGUCUAAAUGUCUGGCGAAGUAUUUAACAUGUGACAGGUAGCUUGUACUUAAAAUUGGUUUUAAUAUGUUACAAGGGUAUUGAAAGGGGCUUUAAGGGUAAAGCUUACCCUAGGCUUGUGAAGAUGGUUCUAUGUGCGACACUAACCCAAGAUCCAAGCAAGCUUACCCAGCUUGAUCUGCAUCACCCUUUGCUGUUGACAUCUGAAAAAUAUGCUAUCGACUCCCUGAAAAUACGCUAUCCUUCCAAUUGCUUAGACUCUUGAUAAUAGCAUUAUAUAUGUGGUACACAAGUACUUGCCAAGUUCCUUGUAGUUGCGUACUUUCAAAAUUGAAGUUAUAAGAAAGAGAUUGAAAUUGGCCAAUUGGGGCUUUACAUAUCUGAACACUGUGUUAACAUAUUGAAGGGCCCAUAUGUUUAUAAAAUGUUCUUAGUUUUCUAAAUAGCUUUUUUCCCCUCAUUCAUGUGUCAACAACACGUGGAUAGUUUUCUGCUAUCACCAAUACAAAAACCCAAAACACUUUUCGAUACCAAUUCAUCCAA